rnacentral:rRNA from 1 species
AACGUAGGAGACAACCGUUAUCCGGAGUUACUGGGCGUAAAGGGCGCGCAGGUGGCUCUGUAUGUCUGCCGUGAAAGCAUACAGCUCAACUGUAUUGUGUCGGUAGAAACUGCAGGACUUGAGGCUGGGAGGGGCUGGUGGAAUUCCCUGUGUAGCGGUGAAAUGCGUAGAGAUGGGGGAGAACACUCGUGGCGAAGGCGGCCAGCUAGACCAGUUCUGACACUGAGGCGCGACAGCGUGGGGAGCAAACAGG